GCUUGUCUCAAAGAUUAAGCCAUGCAUGUCUUAGUGUAAAUAACUCUUAUGAAACUGCGAAUGGCUCAUUAAAUCAGUUAUCGUUUAUUUGAUGGUACUUACUUACUCGGAUAACCGUAGUAAUUCUAGAGCUAAUACGUGCGUAAAUCCCGACUUCUGGAAGGGACGUAUUUAUUAGAUAAAAGGCCGACCGGGCUCUGCCCGACUCGCGGUGAAUCAUGAUAACUUCACGAAUCGCACGGCCUCGUGCCGGCGAUGUUUCAUUCAAAUUUCUGCCCUAUCAAUUGGCGAUGGUAGGAUAGAGGCCUACCAUGGUGUUAACGGGUGACGGGGGAUUAGGGUUCGAUUCCGGAGAGGCAGCCUGAGAAACGGCUACCACAUCCAAGGAAGGCAGCAGG
rnacentral:rRNA from 1 species